GACGAGGGAUCCUAGCGUUGUUCGGAAUCAUUGGGCGUAAAGCGGGGUGUAGGUGGCUUUGUAAGUCGGGUGUGAAAUCCCUCGGCUUAACCAAGGAAGUGCAUCCGAAACUACAGAGCUUGAGUACUUAAGAGGAUCGCGGAAUUCCCGGUGUAGAGGUGAAAUUCGUAGAUAUCGGGAGGAACACCAGUGGCGAAGGCGGCGAUCUGGGAAGAUACUGACGCUGAGGUGCGAAAGCGUGGGGAGCAAACAGG
rnacentral:rRNA from 1 species